UACAGAGACUGCAAGCGUUAUUCGGAUUCACUGGGCGUAAAGGGUGCGCAGGCGGCCGUGUGUGUCAGGUGUGAAAGCCCGGGGCUUAACCCCGGAAUUGCGCCUGAAACUACAUGGCUAGAGCAUUGGAGAGGGUAGCGGAAUUCACGGUGUAGCAGUGAAAUGCGCAGAUAUCAUGAGGAAUACCAGAGGCGAAGGCGGCUACCUGGACAAUUGCUGACGCUCAGGCACGAAAGCGUGGGGAGCAAAAGGG
rnacentral:rRNA from 1 species